rnacentral:rRNA from 1 species
UACGGGGGGAGCAAGCGUUGUUCGGAUUUACUGGGCGUAAAGGGCGCGUAGGCGGCCAGCACAAGUCAGUUGUGAAAUCUCCGGGCUUAACUCGGAAAGGUCAACUGAUACUGUGCGGCUAGAGUGCAGAAGGGGCAACUGGAAUUCUCGGUGUAGCGGUGAAAUGCGUAGAUAUCGAGAGGAACACCUGCGGUGAAGGCGGGUUGCUGGGCUGACACUGACGCUGAUGCGCGAAAGCCAGGGGAGCGAAGCGGG